rnacentral:rRNA from 1 species
UACGUAGGGUGCAAGCGUUAUCCGGAAUUAUUGGGCGUAAAGAGCUCGUAGGCGGUUUGUCGCGUCUGCUGUGAAAACUGGAGGCUUAACCUCGAGCUGUCGGCGGAAACCAUCUGGCUAGAGUCCGGAAGAGGAGAAUGGAAUUCCCGGUGUAGCGGUGAAAUGCGCAGAUAUCGGGAAGAACACCCGUGGCGAAGGCGGUUCUCUGGGACGGUACUGACGCUGAGACGCGAAAGCGUGGGGAGCGAACAGG